rnacentral:tRNA from 1 species
UAGAAUGUAGUAUAGGGGAAGUACGAAGAAGUUUGAUUUCUUAAGGAUAGGUUCAAUUCCUGUUGUUCUAA